CCUUCCCAGGUAUUGGCAACACCAGCAGUCCAGUUGGUUAGGAGCUGUGGAAUCAACCUCAUGUACCAUGUGAAUCCCUUGACAAAUCCUAUUGGUUCUACCUUCAAAAUACAUCUGAAACCCACCCCCUCGUAGCAUCUUCAUUGCUACCACCUUGGUACAAACCAUGAAACAAGGUUGGAAUAUACUGGUAUCUACUUCAACCUUUGCUUCCUACAGUCAAUUCAGAUGCAACCAGAGCGAUCUGUGAAAACCGGAAUUAGAUUUUGCCUUCCUGAGUUCCUCUAGUAGUGGCCACAAUUGCCAGAGAAGAUAGAGCAGGUCUCUCCCAGGACUUGCAACUCCAGCCUGUGUCUGCAGGGGGUGCUGUAGGGGCUGAUUUCUCCAGCCCAUGGCAAGAGGCCUUCAUCUUGUGCCUGGAAAGAGGGAAGUACAAGUUCGUCUGGCAGAGAUGGUGCAGAUGGGCAGGUUUUUCAGACACUGCAGCCAGCACUUCUGGGACCGCAGCAGUGGAGCCUGCAGAGGGCCAGUUCCCCAGGCAUGGGCUAUUGACACUGUCACUUCCAGACUCCUCAUGCAAUAAACAACCCCUAAACAGA
rnacentral:antisense_RNA from 1 species